rnacentral:tRNA from 1 species
GCUCAGCUAGCUCAGUCGGUAGAGCAUGGGACUCUUAAUCCCAUAGUCGUGGGUUUGUGCCUCAUGUUGGAUG